rnacentral:tRNA from 1 species
GCGCCUGUAGCUCAGCUUGGAUAGAGCGACUGCCUCCUAUAUGGUAUGGUGAGAGCAGUAGGCCGAGGGUUCGAAUCCCUUCAGGCGCG